UACGGAGGGGGCUAGCGUUGUUCGGAAUUACUGGGCGUAAAGCGCGCGUAGGCGGCUUUGUAAGUUAGAGGUGAAAGCCCGGAGCUCAACUCCGGAAUUGCCUUUAAGACUGCAUCGCUAGAAUCAUGGAGAGGUGAGUGGAAUUCCGAGUGUAGAGGUGAAAUUCGUAGAUAUUCGGAAGAACACCAGUGGCGAAGGCGGGUCUCUGGGCCGAUACUGACGCUGAGGAGCGAAAGCCAGGGGAGCAAACGGG
rnacentral:rRNA from 1 species